GGGGGUAUAGCUCAGUUGGUUGGAGCGCACGCUUCACAUGCGUGAGGUCACAGGUUCGAGCCCUGUUAUCCCCACCA
rnacentral:tRNA from 1 species